ACGGGGUGCAGCAGGCGCGAAAACUUCGCACUGCGCGAAAGCGCGACGAGGGAAUCCCAAGUGUAUGCACGUAAGUGUAUACUGUUUCUCUGUCUAAAAAGCAUAGAGAGUAAGAGCUGGGUAAGACGGGUGCCAGCCGCCGCGGUAAUACCUGCAGCUCUAGUGGUGGCCGCUAUUAUUAGGCCUAAAACGUCCGUAGCCGGCUUAUUAAAUGCCCGGGUAAAUUGUACGGCUUAACCGUACGAAUUCCGGGUAGACUGAUAGGCUUGGGACCGGGAGAAGCUAGAGGUACUCCUGGGGUAGAGGUGAAAUUCUGUAAUCCUAGGGGGACCACCAGUGGCGAAGGCGUCUAGCUAGAACGGGUUUGACGGUGAGGGACGAAGCCCUGGGGAGCAAACGGGAUUAGAUACCCCGGUAGUCCAGGGUGUAAACGCUGCUUGCUUGAUGUUAGUCGGGCUCCGAGCCCGAUUAGUGUCGGAGAGAAGUUGUUAAGCAAGCUGCCUGGGAAGUACGAUCGCAAGACUGAAACUUAAAGGAAUUGGCGGGGGAGCAC
rnacentral:rRNA from 1 species